UACGGAGGGGCUGAGCGUUGUUCGGAAUUACUGGGCGUAAAGCGCACGUAGGCGGCUUUGUAAGUUAGAGGUGAAAGCCCCAGGGCUCAACCCUGGAAUUGCCUUUAAGACUGCAUCGCUUGAACAUCGGAGAGGUAAGUGGAAUUCCGAGUGUAGAGGUGAAAUUCGUAAGAUAUUCGGAAGAACACAGUGGCGAAGGCGACUUACUGGACGAUUGUUGACGCUGAGGUGCGAAAGCGUGGGGAGCAAACAGG
rnacentral:rRNA from 1 species